UUAACACAUGCAAGUCGAACGAACCUUCGGGUUAGUGGCGGACGGGUGAGUAACGCGUGGGAAUCUGCCCUCAGGAGGGGGAUAACGGCUGGAAACGGCCGCUAAUACCCCAUAUGCCGAGAGGUGAAAUGAAUUUCGCCUGAGGAUGAGCCCGCGUCUGAUUAGCUAGUUGGUGGGGUAAAGGCCUACCAAGGCGACGAUCAGUAGCUGGUCUGAGAGGAUGAUCAGCCACACUGGGACUGAGACACGGCCCAGACUCCUACGGGAGGCAGCAGUGGGGAAUUUUCCGCAAUGGGCGAAAGCCUGACGGAGCAACGCCNCGUGAGGGAUGAAGGCCUCUGGGCUGUAAACCUCUUUUCUCAAGGAAGAANACCUGACGGUACUUGAGGAAUAANCCACGGCUAAUUCCNUGCCAGCAGCC
rnacentral:rRNA from 1 species